CUCGACGUUACCACCACCACACUGGCACCGUGGGGCGGGGGUCGGCUGGCAGCCUGGUGCUUCUCGGGGGGCCGGGAUGAGGCAACACAGGCGGGUGCCAUCUGGGUGGCCGCCGUGCGCCGGCACGGGCUCUCCGUGGAUGUGCCGCGGUCUUUGGUGGAGGUUGUGCUGUUUUGGUGAUUGACCUCAUCACUCAGGCAAACGUGGUCAUGGGGAGGGGUCUGCUCACCCGUCUUCAGAGGGGACGAUGACCGGGACACCCGCUCUUGCCAACUGUGCUUUUUCCCCAGAGAGUUGUUAUUCAGGGUGUCCUCUCCGCAGGUCUGGACGCUGGUUGGGACCAGCUGCCCGGGGGGGGCCUUUGCUGUCCCCGUCCCCCCAGCUGGAUGUGGCUCCCACGUGCCACCGGCUCCUCGGGGUCCCUGGCUGCGAGGCACCUGCGGGAAGAGGUUGAGCGUGGUGGGGCGCUUGGGCCGGUAGCUGUCGGUGCUGGCGGGCGGCGGCUCCUUUUGCAGGGGCUCGGGCGCCGUCUGCUCCUCGGCCGGCGCGUCCCCGGCGGCGUCGAUGAGGUCGAGCUGCAGCAUCUCGGCCUGCAGUCGGCCUCCCUCCCCGCCGCCCGCCGCCCGCGCCGCGCCGCCCGCCCGGCUCACGCGGCCCCGGGUGGCCAGGCUGUCCUUGCAGUGCAGGCUGAUGCCACACUCAUCGGUGAUCUCAGAGAGGUCUUCAUCCUCAAACUCCUCGAGGCUGAUGUCGUGGGUGAGCCUGAAAUUGGGGGGCGAGGCGAGGUGCAGCCCCAGGAAGGGGGAGGAGGCGGGCGGGGAUGCGGCUCCUUUCUCUCGCUCCGCCAUUCCGUG
rnacentral:lncRNA from 1 species